rnacentral:rRNA from 1 species
GUAGGUGGGCAAGCGUUGUCCGGAAUUAUUGGGCGUAAAGCGCGCGCAGGGCGGUCCUUUAAGUCUGAUGUGAAAGCCCACGGCUCAACCGUGGAGGGUCAUUGGAAACUGGGGGACUUGAGUACAGAAGAGGAAAGCGGAAUUCCAAGUGUAGCGGUGAAAUGCGUAGAGAUUUGGAGGAACACCAGUGGCGAAGGCGGCUUUCUGGUCUGUAACUGACGCUGAGGCGCGAAAGCGUGGGGAGCAAACAGGAUUAGAUACCCUGGUAGUCCACGCCGUAAACGAUGAGUGCUAAGUGUUAGGGGGUUUCCGCCCCUUAGUGCCGCAGCUAACGCAUUAAGCACUCCGCCUGGGGAGUACGGCCGCAAAGGCUG